GCCUUCAGCUUUUUCUCCACUUUGACUUCACUGUUUCAGUACUACUUGUGAGUUCAAAUUGAACACCCUAAGCACAGAAGUGAUGUCUGUGCUCCUCGUGCUGGUUCAUAAUACUUUCUGGUACGAAAGAAAACCAAACCCAGGACGUUUGCAGCAUCUGAAAUUUUUAAGACUCUUAGGAGUCUCGUGAGGUAAUUUUCAGAUGAGGAACCAUGAUCUAUGCCAAAUAGUUUCAGGAAGUGACAGAAACAAGAAAGGAACAAGAUUAACUCCCAAUCCAAUGCUCUUUAAAUUCUUACCACCCAGCUUCUGAAGGACUUUGAUUUAGGUGGAAGAAAUGCAGCAAUCGCAGGAGAACAUCCCUGGGAUCAUCUAUAGGAGAAUAGCCCAACCUGCCAGAACUAGCCUCCCUCAGCCAUCGCAGGCCCCUGCCUCCUGCCUCCCUCUCCUUCCCUUGGAGCUUCACGGACCUUCCCUGUGCAGACUGGCUGCAGACCUCAGGGCUCCAGCAGACACGCCGAAAGCUGGAGGAAAGACGGUGUGGCUGCACAAAGUCUCCUAAGCCUGCCACGGAUGAUCUUCGAUGGUACAACUUGGACCUGGACAAUCAUUUGUGAACAAAGGAGGCCAGAACGCCUGAGCCUGCUCGGAAUUGACUUCUGUGUCCCUCUAUUAUUGAAACUGACAUCGGAUGUGCGUGCGUGUGUUUCUUUCAUAAAAGCCCUAUCCUAAUCCAAGAUCAAACAAUUUAUUUUGGAAAAUAACUGCACAUAAUGGUACAUUUUCUAGAACUGACCAGGUUCCCCCUGUCAUUUGCCAUCAGCUUUGAAGUAUUUAAUAGCUAAGGUAACUUGAAGAAACUCCCAUGUUCCUGAAAACUGCUCUUAGUGUCCCUACUAUUUGCUGGGGACUUCUCAUUUACCCACUGCUUUAUCAGUCCACUUUUUGCUUUUAUCUACUUAUUUCUCAAGUGGAUUGUCAUUACCUCGUUCUCUGCACAUCGUUUUUAAGAUCUGAGGAGGAUUUCCUUACGUGAAUAGACCUUAACUGAUCUGAAUGUCCCCUAGAGUUCAUAUUUGCAUUAUUUCCAAUUUUUCUCUAAUACAACAAUUCUUGAAUGAGUAUAUCAUCUCUUUUCCCCCAGCUUUACUGAGGUAUAACUGACCAAUAAAAGUAUCUACUUAAGGUGUAGAUUUGUAUCUACUUAAAGUAUCUACUUUAAGGUGUAUGAUUUGAUAUAUAUACACACUGUGAAGUAUUUCCCACAAUCAAGCUAAGGAACACAUCCAUCACCUCCCAGGGUUACUCUUUGUGGGUGGUGAUCCAUAUCUUUUUGUGCAUCUACAUUUAUCACAACAAAAAAACCAAAAGUAAAGUCACCUAAAGGCAAAGGGUAUGUGCCAAGUAAAGCUUUGGUUGUACAUGUUGCCAAAAGGCUCUAUAAAUGAGUUGAAUGGACCAGGUCCACAUACAAUUUUGACGUAGUUCUUCUGUUAGGAAGCAUGAUUCACCCUCAUGAAAGAAGUUUUACCUAAUACUUCACGAUAUGAAGGAAAAGGUGAAAUGCGACCGAUUUUCUCCAUGCAUACACUCGAAGAGGACCCAGCAGCUCACCUCUGGGAGCAUAUGUGCAGGGCCCCCAGCUGUGAUGCCUCCACUAGGAGCUGGUGCAAGGGCAACUGUUGUGUGGUGUGUAGUUUGGAGGUUGAUAGAUCCUCGGCUGUUUUCUGAUUUUUCCACAGUUAUAGAAAAACAAUGACUUGAUAGACAUCUUUCAGGUCUGGAUGGAAAUGUCACUUUCUUAAGGGGUCUUCCCCAACUCCCCAGUCUACAUUUCAACUUUUUCUUUGACUCAUUAACUAGCCCAAAAUGUCCUGAGUCAUCUGAAGAGAAACUAGCUCCCACGUGGUCUCUUGUACUUAGCACAUCGUGACAUGCUAAGUCUGGAUGCAUCUAUGGAUAUGUACCAAUCAUUUCAAAACAUAUGUUGUGAGACAUUUUAUCAGUUACAACCUAAUUUCAAAAUGGGUCAAUAUUUUAUAUACACAAUGUCCUGUAUGCUCAGUUCAGUUGAAUAAACAUUUGGUGGCAUCGUGAUAUAUCAUGUACUAGGCAAGAGCUGGGAAUGUGAUGAUUAAUUUCAUGUAUCAACCUGAUUGGCUAAGAGGAUGUUCAGACAUUUGGUCAGACAUUAUUCUGGUUGUGUCUGUAAAGGUGUUUCUAGAUGCCAUUAACACUUGAAUUGGUAGAUUGAGUAGAACAGAUCGCCCUCUCCAGUGACCCUCCCCAGUGUAGAUGGGCCUCAUCCAAUCAGUUGAAGGUCUAAAAAGAAAAAACUUGAUGCUCCCACAAGUAAGGAAGAAUUUUUCCUGCCUUUGAAUUAAAACUGAAUUGGCUCUUCUUAGGUCUCAAGACAGGAUUCAGACUGGACCUGAAACAAUGGCUUUCUGUGUUUCCAGUUUGCUGACUGACCCAUAGAUCUUGGGAUCUGUCAGCCUUACAAUCACGUGAGGCCUAUUCCUUAUAAUAAGUCCCUUAUAGAGUUAGAGACAGAGAUGGAAAUAAACAUCCUAUGGGUUCUGUUUCUCUGGAGAAUGCGACGAAGACAGAUUUUGAAACUGAGAGUGGUUCUAGAGGAAUAGUUUUGAGGAUACGUUCCUGAAGUGUGGAAUAGGCUCUCUAAUCCAAUCAGAUUUAAAGACACUAAUGACUCUACUUAUGGUAGUAAAGAUUGCUGACAGUCAAAGGCAUAAUCUUAGAGACAUACACAAUAUGUCAAUAUGUCAAUAUGACGGGCAAAGGCAUAAUCAAUAGAGACACACACAAUAUCACCAAUGGGUAUUCCCAAUAACCCACUUAAAGGAAACAACAACUGAGUGACUGUGUAUAUGACACUAUUAAACACUUCCAUCAAACUAACAAAUAUAAUAGGAUUGACCGGUUGUUCCUAAUCUCUGGGAUUCAAAUUCUCAGCUCCAGCACUGAAUAAAUGACCUGAAAUCUUCUGUGUGUUCAGAGCAUGUCUAUUAUUAAAGUAG